rnacentral:rRNA from 1 species
UUACACAUGCAAGUCGAGCGGAAAGGCCCUUCGGGGUACUCGAGCGGCGAACGGGUGAGUAACACGUGAGCAACCUGCCCUAGGCUUUGGGAUAACCCUCGGAAACGGGGGCUAAUACCGAAUACGACCUUCUGCCGCAUGGUGGGGGGUGGAAAGUUUUUCGGCCUGGGAUGGGCUCGCGGCCUAUCAGCUUGUUGGUGGGGUGAUGGCCUACCAAGGCGACGACGGGUAGCCGGCCUGAGAGGGCGACCGGCCACACUGGGACUGAGACACGGCCCAGACUCCUACGGGAGGCAGCAGUGGGGAAUAUUGCACAAUGGGCGGAAGCCUGAUGCAGCGACGCCGCGUGAGGGAUGACGGCCUUCGGGUUGUAAACCUCUUUCAGCAGGGACGAAGCGCAAGUGACGGUACCUGCAGAAGAAGCGCCGGCCAACUACGUGCCAGCAGCCGCGGUAAGACGUAGGGCGCGAGCGUUGUCCGGAUUUAUUGGGCGUAAAGAGCUCGUAGGCGGCUUGUCGCGUCGACCGUGAAAACUUGGGGCUCAACCCCAAGCCUGCGGUCGAUACGGGCAGGCUAGAGUUCGGUAGGGGAGACUGGAAUUCCUGGUGUAGCGGUGAAAUGCGCAGAUAUCAGGAGGAACACCGGUGGCGAAGGCGGGUCUCUGGGCCGAUACUGACGCUGAGGAGCGAAAGCGUGGGGAGCGAACAGGAUUAGAUACCCUGGUAGUCCACGCUGUAAACGUUGGGCGCUAGGUGUGGGGGGCCUCUCCGGUUCUCUGUGCCGCAGCUAACGCAUUAAGCGCCCCGCCUGGGGAGUACGGCCGCAAGGCUAAAACUCAAAGGAAUUGACUGG